UUUUUCUUCAGGGCAGCAUUUUUCCUUCUGGCCCUGGUUUAUGAUCUAUUUUCUGGGCUCCUCAAGAAACCUGCUGUCUGUAUUUCACUGGAGUAGGAAGAAGUAUGUUACUCAAGAAGCAAAGGAAGAAGUACUUACAAGGAACCAAAAGCUAUAGCUAAAUGUUUCAAAUGUGAGGAAUAAACAAUGAACUCAAGACUUCUAUGCAAGCAGUGAAGGAAGGACGACAGAUUGUAUAAGAACAGAUCCUCAGGAGAGAAAAUAAACCUACCUAGUCUAUGAAGGAUUGCUCAAAGACUAAGAUUUGAACCUUCUAUUGGACUGUGCUAUUUUCAAUUUUGUUAAAUUGGGAAAUAUUUCCCAGAACCUCCUUCCCUGCAUAAUUCUAGAUUAGAAGUGACCAACAUAUCAACUGGUGACAGGUUUGGAAGGUGGAAGUGAAGCACUGACUAUGGCUUUUGCAGUCAGAGAGAGUGGGAGAAAGCAGCCAUAAUGGACAGACACAGAGAUGCAGCUUGUCUUCCAUCCAUGGGGCCACAUUCAGCUCAUCUUCACUCCGAGCUUCCUUUGUCAAUAGAAGUAGUCCUUUCUCUCCUGUCCAGGGAGGUUGUAUGAGGAACCUGUGAUGACUUCUCCUAAUGUCACUCUCCUUCAGAGGAAUACUAGCCUUUUUAAGACCUACCUCCAACACAUAUCACUCCUUCUGGACUUAUAACCAGAUUCAAGUUCUGGUAGUAUUCAAGGAUCAGAUACAAAGUAUGACCUAAGGCAGAGUUUUGUCAAAUUUAGAGAUGGAAUUGAUUCACUUGGACAUGGUGACCACACUUUUCUGAAAGGCAUUAUCAUCUAGCCACAGUAUGGAAAAAGAAGUUGGGAUUGG